AUGCCUUUCAGCUCGUGUGCAAACCACAAGCUUCUCCUGACAGGUGGAAUUUCCUCAGGACUGUCCGUCUGAGGUAGGUGCGUCCAUGUCUGUCUGCACCUGGAUGGCAUCGCCUCGGCAGGGCAGGGUGGCUGAGCCCCUGCAGGCCCCAGCCCUGUGACUCAGCCACCAAAGCCCAAUCUCCAGCCCAAGGGAACCAAGGGUAUCUUCUUCAUCAUCCUUCCAGUCCUCUUCCCCUUUGCUGGGCUCCAGCCUCAGCUUGGAGGGCACCUCUGCCUGCUCCUUAUGCUGGAGUUGAUUUUCUACCAUCUCAACUUAGCCAAGAGAUCUCAUCACCUAAAAAAGUGAUGUGAACCUUAAGAUCACAUAUGUCAUA
rnacentral:lncRNA from 1 species